UACGUAGGGGGCUAGCGUUGUCCGGAAUCAUUGGGCGUAAAGAGCGCGUAGGCGGUCCGGUAAGUCAGCUGUGAAAGUCAAGGGCUCAACCCUUGAAUGCCGGUUGAUACUGUCGGGCUAGAGUCCGGAAGAGGCGAGUGGAAUUCCCGGUGUAGCGGUGAAAUGCGCAGAUAUCGGGAGGAACACCAAUGGCGAAGGCAGCUCGCUGGGACGGUACUGACGCUGAGACGCGAAAGCGUGGGGAGCAAACAGG
rnacentral:rRNA from 1 species